UCAUCUGCAGCCUGAAGGUGGAGUGGUGCCAGUCUUUCGCCAGUCACUCAUCUUUUGGAAUGAAUACUGUACAACUGUGAACUUCAUUUUGUCCGCAGCGAGAAUGAGGACAAAUAUGUCAAGUGAACAUCUCAACAGAAACAAGGCAGUUUUCAAAUUACCCUGUUGAAGUACAGCAACAAACGUUAUUGCAAUGACAGCUUUAAAGAACUGCCAGCAACUUCAGCAUAACUGGGAUGGAAGCGUGUUCACAUAUGUGAGUGACCCAUCGUCUUUACAUCUAUCACCGUGCUUGUCUGGAAACCCUCUUCAUCACACAGUAGUCGUCGGAAGGCAGG